UGCCCCACCUAUGAUAGUAGAGGGGCAUUAUGUUUUCUGGUCUGUGCGUCCGUCCGUCCGUUCGUCUGUCUGUCCCGCUUCAGGUUAAAGUUUUUGGUCAAGGUAGUUUUUGAUGAAGUUGAAGUCCAAUCAACUUCAAACUUAGUACACAUGUUCCCUAUGAUAUGAUCUUUCUAAUUUUAAUGCCAAAUUAGAGUUUUUAUCCCAAUGUCACGGUCCA